CCUACGGGAGGCAGCAGUGAGGAAUAUUGGUCAAUGUACGCGAGUCUGAACCAGCCAAGUAGCGUGAAGGCUGACUGCCCUACGGGUUGUAAACUUCUUUUAUCUGGGAAUAAAACGUUCCACGUGUGGGCUUUUGUAUGUACCAUAUGAAUAAGGAUCGGCUAACUCCGUGCCAGCCGCCGCGGUAAUACGGAGAAUCCGAGCGUUAUCCGGAUUUAUUGGGUUUAAAGGGAGCGUAGGUGGGUUGUUAAGUCAGUUGUGAAAGUUUGCGGCUCAACCGUAAAAUUGCAGUUGAAACUGGCAGUCUUGAGGACAGUAGAGGUGGGCGGAAUGCGUGGUGUAGCGGUGAAAUGCUUAGAUAUCACGAAGAACUCCGAUUGCGAAGGCAGUUCACUGGACUGCAACUGACACUGAGGCUCGAAAGUGUGGGUAUCAAACAGGAUUAGAUACCCUUGUAGUC
rnacentral:rRNA from 1 species